GAUGAACGCUGGCGGCGUGCCUAAUACAUGCAAGUCGAGCGAACGGACGAGAAGCUUGCUUCUCUGAUGUUAGCGGCGGACGGGUGAGUAACACGUGGAUAACCUACCUAUAAGACUGGGAUAACUUCGGGAAACCGGAGCUAAUACCGGAUAAUAUUUUGAACCGCAUGGUUCAAAAGUGAAAGACGGUCUUGCUGUCACUUAUAGAUGGAUCCGCGCUGCAUUAGCUAGUUGGUAAGGUAACGGCUUACCAAGGCAACGAUGCAUAGCCGACCUGAGAGGGUGAUCGGCCACACUGGAACUGAGACACGGUCCAGACUCCUACGGGAGGCAGCAGUAGGGAAUCUUCCGCAAUGGGCGAAAGCCUGACGGAGCAACGCCGCGUGAGUGAUGAAGGUCUUCGGAUCGUAAAACUCUGUUAUUAGGGAAGAACAUAUGUGUAAGUAACUGUGCACAUCUUGACGGUACCUAAUCAGAAAGCCACGGCUAACUACGUGCCAGCAGCCGCGGUAAUACGUAGGUGGCAAGCGUUAUCCGGAAUUAUUGGGCGUAAAGCGCGCGUAGGCGGUUUUUUAAGUCUGAUGUGAAAGCCCACGGCUCAACCGUGGAGGGUCAUUGGAAACUGGAAAACUUGAGUGCAGAAGAGGAAAGUGGAAUUCCAUGUGUAGCGGUGAGAUGCGCAGAGAUAUGGAGGAACACCAGUGGCGAAGGCGACUUUCUGGUCUGUAACUGACGCUGAUGUGCGAAAGCGUGGGGAUCAAACAGGAUUAGAUACCCUGGUAGUCCACGCCGUAAACGAUGAGUGCUAAGUGUUAGGGGGUUUCCGCCCCUUAGUGCUGCAGCUAACGCAUUAAGCACUCCGCCUGGGGAGUACGACCGCAAGGUUGGAACUCAAAGGAAUUGACGGGGACCCGCACAAGCGGUGGAGCAUGUGGUUUAAUUCGAAGCAACGCGAAGAACCUUACCAAAUCUUGACAUCCUUUGACAACUCUAGAGAUAGAGCCUUCCCCUUCGGGGGACAAAGUGACAGGUGGUGCAUGGUUGUCGUCAGCUCGUGUCGUGAGAUGUUGGGUUAAGUCCCGCAACGAGCGCAACCCUUAAGCUUAGUUGCCAUCAUUAGGUUGGGCACUCUAAGUUGACUGCCGGUGACAAACCGGAGGAAGGUGGGGAUGACGUCAAAUCAUCAUGCCCCUUAUGAUUUGGGCUACACACGUGCUACAAUGGACAAUACAAAGGGCAGCGAAACCGCGAGGUCAAGCAAAUCCCAUAAAGUUGUUCUCAGUUCGGAUUGUAGUCUGCAACUCGACUACAUGAAGCUGGAAUCGCUAGUAAUCGUAGAUCAGCAUGCUACGGUGAAUACGUUCCCGGGUCU
rnacentral:rRNA from 1 species